ensembl:snRNA U6 U6 spliceosomal RNA
GUGCUCACUUCAGCAUCACAUAUACUAAAAUUGAAAUGAUGCAGAGAAGAUUAGCAUGGCCCCUAUGCAAGGAUGACACACAAAUUCGUGAAGCAUUCCAUACUUUA